GAUGAACGCUGGCGGCGUGCUUAACACAUGCAAGUCGAACGAUGAAGCCCAGCUUGCUGGGUGGAUUAGUGGCGAACGGGUGAGUAACACGUGAGUAACCUGCCCUUAACUCUGGGAUAAGCCUGGGAAACUAGGUCUAAUACCGGAUAGGAGCGCCUACCGCAUGGUGGGUGUUGGAAAGAUUUAUCGGUUUUGGAUGGACUCGCGGCCUAUGAGCUUGUUGGUGAGGUAAUGGCUCACCAAGGCGACGACGGGUAGCCGGCCUGAGAGGGUGACCGGCCACACUGGGACUGAGACACGGCCCAGACUCCUACGGGAGGCAGCAGUGGGGAAUAUUGCACAAUGGGCGCAAGCCUGAUGCAGCGACGCCGCGUGAGGGAUGACGGCCUUCGGGUUGUAAACCUCUUUCAGUAGGGAAGAAGCGAAAGUGACGGUACCUGCAGAAGAAGCACCGGCUAACUACGUGCCAGCCGCCGCCGUAACAC
rnacentral:rRNA from 1 species